rnacentral:rRNA from 1 species
UACGUAGGGCGCGAGCGUUGUCCGGAAUUAUUGGGCGUAAAGAGCUCGUAGGCGGCCUGUCGCGUCCGCUGUGAAAUCCCGGGGCUUAACCCCGGGCCUGCAGUGGAUACGGGCAGGCGUGGAGGCAGGCAGGGGGAGUCUGGAAUUCCUGGUGUAGCGGUGAAAUGACGCAGAUAUCAGGAGGAACACCGGUGGCGAAGGCGGGUCUCUGGGCAACAACUGACGCUGAGGAGCGAAAGCGUGGGGAGCGAACAGG